CCUGCCCAUUGAGAUUUGAAAGGCCGCGGUAUUAUGACCGUGCUAAGGUAGCAUAAUCAUUAGUCUUUUAAUUGGAGGCUGGAAUGAAUGGUCGGACAAGAGAUAAGCUGUCUUAAGUAAAAAUAUUGAAUUUAACUUUUAAGUGAAAAGGCUUAAAUCUUCUAGGGGGACGAUAAGACCCUAUAAAACUUUAUAUUUUGAAAUAAUAAUUAAUUUUGUGUGGGAGGUUUAUUUUUAAGUAUUUUAUUGGGGUGAUAAGGAUAAAAUAAUAAGUAACUGUCUUUUUUUUAUUACAAUAAUAUUUGAGCAAAUGAACCUAGUAAGGGAAAGAAGAUUAAGUUACUUUAGGGAUAACAGCGUAAUUUUUUUUAAGAGUUCUUAUCGACAAGAAAGUUUGCGACCUCGAUGUUGAAUUAAAAAUUCUUUAUAGAGCAGAAACUAUAAAAGAAGGUCUGUUCGACCUUUAAAAUUUUACGUGAUCU
rnacentral:rRNA from 1 species